AUUGAACGCUGGCGGCAGGCUUAACACAUGCAAGUCGAGCGAGCGGCGGACGGGUGAGUUAUGUCUGGGAAACUGCCUGAUGGUGGGGGAUAACUACUGGAAACGGUAGCUAAUACCGCAUACCAUCAGAUGUGCCCAGAUGGGAUUAGCUAGUAGGUGGGGUAAUGGCGCCCCAAGGCCACGAUCCCUAUCUGUUCUGAGAGGACGACCAGCAACACUGGCACUGAGACACGGUCCAGACUCCUACGGUAGGCAGCAGUGGGGAAUAUUGCACAAUGGGAGCAAGCCUGAUGCAGCCAUGCCGCGUGUGUGAAGAAGGCCUGCGGGUUGUAAAGCACUUUCAGCGAGGAGGCGUUACUCGCAGAAGAAGCACCGGCUAACUCCGUGCCAGCAGCCGCGGUAAUAC
rnacentral:rRNA from 1 species